rnacentral:rRNA from 1 species
GUGGGGAAUCUUGCGCAAUGGGCGAAAGCCUGACGCAGCCAUGCCGCGUGGAUGAUGAAGGUCUUAGGAUUGUAAAAUCCUUUCACCGGUGAAGAUAAUGACUGUAGCCGGAGAAGAAGCCCCGGCUAACUUCGUGCCAGCAGCCGCGGUAAUACGAAGGGGGCUAGCGUUGCUCGGAUUUACUGGGCGUAAAGGGCGCGUAGGCGGACAUUUAAGUCAGGGGUGAAAUCCCGGGGCUCAACCUCGGAACUGCCUUUGAUACUGGGUGUCUUGAGUAUGAGAGAGGUGUGUGGAACUCCGAGUGUAGAGGUGAAAUUCGUAGAUAUUCGGAAGAACACCAGUGGCGAAGGCGACACACUGGCUCAUUACUGACGCUGAGGCGCGAAAGCGUGGGGAGCAAACAGGAUUAGAUACCCGGGUAGUCC